rnacentral:misc_RNA from 1 species
AGAAAGUUGCAUAUUUCUUCAGUGCAUUAAAAUCUACCAGAGACUCGUGGACUAUGAGUCACAAGUGUUUGGCCAAAUAUGGUUAUGAUAAAUUUAGUAAAAUGGGCAGCACAAAUAUAGAGCAACUCGGUAUGCAAUUUCCUUCUCUUAGCUCUUAUUAAUCUAAUGUGUUCCUUGUUCUUGAUUGAAGCUCACUGUAUUUUAUUUUUCUUUGUUGAAGUUGAUAUGGUAGUGUUUGCAACACUUGACUCUGUGAUUAAGGCAGCAGCAGAACUGUUUGAUAGGCUAGAAGAUGAAGGGUUGAAUGAAGACCACAGCCAACAAGCCAGCAAAUCAACAGAGUCCUAUACCAGCAACAAAUCUAUUUCUCUUGCUGUCAAAAAUGAUGCUCGUACUGGAGUAACUCCAAAUAUUUCCAAGUCUCCACCUGGUCAUCCGUCUCCUGGAGUUCAGUUUUGUCAGAACUCUAGCACCUUGAAACAAAAGAAUGAAACAGUCGAGAAACUGAAGCCACAGAGCAAAGAAGAAGUGAGAGCAGCAAACACUGGCAUAAUUGAAUGUCACUUGCAGACAAGCAAAAACACGAAGGUUCCAUUGCCAAAUGUGAAUGAGAAUGAUCAUGAGAAACAACAAGAUACAACCGGUGAAACUGACAUCCCAAAAAGUGCUCCUCCACUGCCAGCCCCGCUUUCCAAAGAAUUAUUGCAAUCACCACCACCACCACCUGUCAUGCCUACAAAAGGAUCAAUGCCAACUGCAAUGCCACUCAAAAAGGGUCCUGGACCCCCUCCGCCUCCACCUUUUGCUGGUAAAUCCCUGCUUCAAAGGAAACCGAUUACUAAAUUGAAGAGAUCCACCCAGAUGCCCAACCUGUUUCAAAAACUCAAGAACAAGAUGGAAGGAUCUAACCAUACUAUUAAAUCAUCUAAUGUGAGAAAGACACAACUUGGAGGUUCUAGCGGUGGAAGGGAAGGACUGUCUGCCACAAUAGCAGAAAUGACAAAAAGGUUGCUUCUAUCAAUAUCAUUUACUGUAGGAAAACAUUCCAUAUAGAAGCAAUAAAACUUGAAAAAUAUUAGCAGAUAAUAAUGAUUUUCUAAUUUUCCCUUUCCGGUAGCUUAGAUCAACAUACUUUCUACAAAUUCAAGAAGAUAUUCAGAAGCAUGCAAAAUCGAUCCUUGAGUUAAAGGUAGCCAUCAA